CUACGGGGGGCUGCAGUGGGGAAUAUUGCACAAUGGGCGAAAGCCUGAUGCAGCAACGCCGCGUGAGUGAUGAAGGUCUUCGGAUUGUAAAGCUCUGUUCUUGGGGAAGAAUAAAUGACGGUACCCAGGGAGAAAGCCCCGGCUAACUACGUGCCAGCAGCCGCGGUAAUACGUAGGGGGCAAGCGUUAUCCAGAAUCACUGGGCGUAAAGGGUGCGUAGGCGGCUUAGCAAGUCAGAAGUGAAAGGCAUUGGCUCAACCAAUGUAAGCUUUUGAAACUGUUAGGCUUGAGUGCAGGAGAGGAAAGUGGAAUUCCUAGUGUAGCGGUGAAAUGCGUAGAUAUUAGGAGGAACACCAGUGGCGAAGGCGACUUUCUGGACUGUAACUGACGCUGAGGCACGAAAGCGUGGGGAGCGAACAGGAUUAGAUACCCCCGUAGUC
rnacentral:rRNA from 1 species